GUGCCAGCCGCCGCGGUAAUACGUAGGGGGCGAGCGUUGUCCGGAUUUAUUGGGCGUAAGGAGCUCGUAGGCGGUUCAACAAGUCGGUCGUGAAAGUUCAGAGCUUAACCCUGAAAUGUCGAUCGAUACUGUUGUGACUAGGAUAUGGUAGAGGUGAGUGGAAUUCCGAGUGUAGCGGUGAAAUGCGUAGAUAUUCGGAGGAACACCAAUAGCGAAGGCAGCUCACUGGACCACUAUCGACGCUCAGGAGCGAAAGCUAGGGGAGCAAAUGGGAUUAGAUA
rnacentral:rRNA from 1 species